rnacentral:rRNA from 1 species
GAUGAACGCUGGCGGCGUGCCUAAUACAUGCAAGUCGAGCGAACAGACGAGGAGCUUGCUCCUCUGACGUUAGCGGCGGACGGGUGAGUAACACGUGGAUAACCUACCUAUAAGACUGGGAUAACUUCUGGAAACCGGAGCUAAUACCGGAUAAUAUAUUGAACCGCAUGGUUCAAUAGUGAAAGACGGUUUUGCUGUCACUUAUAGAUGGAUCCGCGCCGCAUUAGCUAGUUGGUAAGGUAACGGCUUACCAAGGCAACGAUGCGUAGCCGACCUGAGAGGGUGAUCGGCCACACUGGAACUGAGACACGGUCCAGACUCCUACGGGAGGCAGCAGUAGGGAAUCUUCCGCAAUGGGCGAAAGCCUGACGGAGCAACGCCGCGUGAGUGAUGAAGGUCUUCGGAUCGUAAAACUCUGUUAUUAGGGAAGAACAAAUGUGUAAGUAACUAUGCACGUCUUGACGGUACCUAAUCAGAAAGCCACGGCUAACUACGUG